rnacentral:rRNA from 1 species
GACGAACGCUGGCGGCGUGCCUAAUACAUGCAAGUAGAACGCACAGGAUGCACCGUAGUUUACUACACCGUAUUCUGUGAGUUGCGAACGGGUGAGUAACGCGUAGGUAACCUGCCUGGUAGCGGGGGAUAACUAUUGGAAACGAUAGCUAAUACCGCAUAAGAACAUUUACUGCAUGGUAGAUGUUUAAAAGGUGCAAAUGCAUCACUACCAGAUGGACCUGCGUUGUAUUAGCUAGUAGGUGAGGUAACGGCUCACCUAGGCGACGAUACAUAGCCGACCUGAGAGGGUGAUCGGCCACACUGGGACUGAGACACGGCCCAGACUCCUACGGGAGGCAGCAGUAGGGAAUCUUCGGCAAUGGGGGGAACCCUGACCGAGCAACGCCGCGUGAGUGAAGAAGGUUUUCGGACCGUAAAGCUCUGUUGUUAAGGAAGAACGAGUGUGAGAAUGGAAAGUUCAUACUGGG